AGUGGCGGACGGGUGAGUAACGCGUGAGAAUCUGCCUUGGGGUCGGGGACAACCACUGGAAACGGUGGCUAAUACCGGAUAAGCCGAUUGGUGAAAGAUUUAUUGCCCGAAGAGGAGCUCGCGUCUGAUUAGCUAGUUGGUGAGGUAAGAGCUCACCAAGGCAGCGAUCAGUAGCUGGUCUGAGAGGACGAUCAGCCACACUGGGACUGAGACACAGCCCAGACUCCUACGGGAGGCAGCAGUGGGGAAUUUUCCGCAAUGGGCGAAAGCCUGACGUAGCAAGACCGCGUGAGGGAGGAAGGCUCUUGGGUUGUAAACCUCUUUUCUCAGGGAAGAAGCUCUGACGGUACCUGAGGAAUCAGCCUCGGCUAACUCCGUGCCAGCAGCCGCGGUAAUACGGAGGAGGCAAGCGUUAUCCGGAAUUAUUGGGCGUAAAGCGUCCGCAGGUGCGAUUCAAGUCUGCUGUCAAAGCACGGGGCUUAACUCCGUAAAGGCAGUGGAAACUGAAUAGCUAGAGUGCCGUAGGGGUAGAGGGAAUUCCCGGUGUAGCGGUGAAAUGCGUAGAGAUCGGGAAGAACAUCGGUGGCGAAAGCGCUCUACUGGACGGCAACUGACACUCAGGGACGAAAGCUAGGGGAGCGAAUGGGAUUAGAUACCCC
rnacentral:rRNA from 1 species